GCACCCAUAGCUCAGUUGGUAGAGCAGCUCCCUUUUAAGGAGAUGGUCGCAGGUUCGAAUCCUGCUGGGUGCA
rnacentral:tRNA from 3 species